AUUGAACGCUGGCGGAAUGCUUUACACAUGCAAGUCGAACGGCAGCACGGACUUCGGUCUGGUGGCGAGUGGCGAACGGGUGAGUAAUGUAUCGGAACGUGCCCAGUCGUGGGGGAUAACGUAGUGAAAAUUACGCUAAUACCGCAUACGAUCUAUGGAUGAAAGCGGGGGAUCGCAAGACCUCGCGCGAUUGGAGCGGCCGAUAUCAGAUUAGGUAGGUGGUGGAGUAAAGGCCCACCAAGCCAACGAUCUGUAGCUGGUCUGAGAGGACGGCCAGCCACACUGGAACUGAGACACGGUCCAGACUCCUACGGGAGGCAGCAGUGGGGAAUUUUGGACAAUGGGCGAAAGCCUGAUCCAGCCAUUCCGCGUGCAGGAUGAAGGCCCUCGGGUUGUAAACUGCUUUUGUACAGAACGAAAAGGUUUCUACUAAUACUAGGAGCUCAUGACGGUACUGUAAGAAUAAGCACCGGCUAACUACGUGCCAGCCGCCGCAGUAA
rnacentral:rRNA from 1 species